AGUGAACGCUGGCGGCAGGCCUAAUACAUGCAAGUCGAACGGCAGCACAGCAGAGCUUGCUCUGUGGGUGGCGAGUGGCGGACGGGUGAGGAAUACGUGGGAAUCUGCCCAGUCGUGGGGGAUAACGUAGGGAAACUUACGCUAAUACCGCAUGCGCCCUUCGGGGGAAAGCCGGGGGACCUUCGGGCCUGGCGCGAUUGGAUGAGCCCACGUCGGAUUAGCUAGUUGGCGGGGUAAAGGCCCACCAAGGCGACGAUCCGUAGCUGGUCUGAGAGGAUGAUCAGCCACACUGGAACUGAGACACGGUCCAGACUCCUACGGGAGGCAGCAGUAGGGAAUAUUGGACAAUGGGCGCAAGCCUGAUCCAGCCAUGCCGCGUGAGUGAAGAAGGCCCUCGGGUUGUAAAGCUCUUUUGUCCGGAAGAAAGCGCCGGGUUAAUACCCUGGUGUCCUGACGGUACCGGAGGAAUAAGCACCGGCUAACUUCGUGCCAGCAGCCGCGGUAA
rnacentral:rRNA from 1 species